rnacentral:misc_RNA from 1 species
CGCUGCGUGUUACACCGAAGCGGCCAACAGUUAAACUGUCUCUCUCUGUCGGUGUGUGUGCACAGGUGCAUUCAGGAGGCGGUGCUGUACCUUGCUCUCCCACACCGACGCCAACUUGUCUACUCGCACGCAAACGUCCAAGCAAAUACGCCCUCGCUCACCUUUGGGGAGGGGGGCUGAGGGGGGCGGCGAAAAAGACAUAAAGCAGCGUCAAGUUAGCGAGACGGGCAGCACUGACAGCUACUGCGGUGGCAGAAUAAGAGAGCCCAGCUCGCAGCUGAGAAAAGCAGAAGCGAACAAUGGGCGCUGCAGCUGCGAAGCCCGUGCGUGAAGCACCUGUCCGGUACGUGGCCAAGCAGAUGCCGCGCCUGGACAAGAUUCCAGUGGAGCAGCAGUUCAAGAAGCCGCAGUUUACGGCACAGGGCAUCAACACUCGCCAGGACGAUGUGAACACCGAACCACUCAUGUACGUGGAGACGUCCAAAGACGCCAGCAGCACCGAGCUGACGGACCAUGUGGCACCGCGGUGGUACUUGAACACGUACCUGGAGAUGUCCGACAACAUGCGCACUGACCAAACGGUGAUUAGCGGCAACCUUCCUCUUGCGUGGGAGCGCGAUAAGCAUGAGCCAUAUUCGCUGGUGCGCGGCCGCAUCGAUGACGAGGACCUUCGCUGGGUUCUCCAACCGGAGCAGCGCAAGAAGCCUCUCGACGAGCUGCUGGGCCAUACGAAACUAGAAAGACAGGUUUUGCAGGACAUCCUCGAUACGGUGGAGCUACCCCGCACACAGUACCGAAACUACAAGGGCAAAUUACACAAAAGCAUCGACGAUGCCAACACUCACAUGACGGCGCGCAAAGAACAAAUCGAGAAGGCUCGGGAGGCGGAGAUCCUGCGUCAGAUUGGAUACACCGAAGAGGAGGUUCUGAAGGAAGAGCAGUACCUGACGAAUCGCUGCCGCGGCGUGCGCACCCUUGACGAACUUGGCGCAAGUGACCGAGAAAAGCGCCGACAGCAGCGGGCGGCCGAGGCGAGCGAGUUAGAGGACAUGCUGAAGGAGCGGCGCAUCGAGCAGCUGGAGCGUGGAGAGGCAACCGUGACGGCAGAGGAGGUGGCUGAAAAGCCGGAGGUGCUGCAGAUGCGCAACAAGCAUUUUAGCACGCACAAGAACGUCUACAAGCGCAUGUACGCUGCAGACAUUGGCAAGGACGAGCGCAACCAGUCAAAGUUUGUGUGGUGGCUCGACCGCACGCGGCGCAUCAAACGCGCCGUGGACACCAUUCACGGUGUUCCGGUCUACAAUGAUCGGCUCUCAGCGAAUGAGGAGCAGACGCGCAAGCAGAUGCAGGAAGCGGCGGAGUUCAACUUCUCAAUAUCGCGGUCGCAGGGCGCGAAGGGGUUCACCGACCCGCGCGGGCACUACGAUCAGUUCAUGGAUAUUAUGCGCUACAACAAGGAGGAGAUGCAGAGCGACACACAUGUUGAGGUCCACGAGGACAGUAGCGCCGAGCACCCCAUCUUUCAGUUCCCCCACACCCGAGAGCACGGCGCGAAGCCAGCGCCGACGCGCUUUGCGGACCGUCGCGACCACGCACAGCGCGUCGACACGGAUGUGACUAAGCUCUUUGGGUUUGAGGGCGAGUCGCCUGCUGCUACCGCUGCUACACCUGCUGCGCCUGUACACAGUAAAUCGUCUCCGUCAAAGCAGGCAACCAGGGGGGCUGACGGGCUCACGUACCCGAGCGGUCGGGCGAGUGCAGGCGGUUGGGAGAAGGCGAAGGGCGCGAGUGGCUCCACACCAGCAGCAUGCACAGAGGCUUCGCCGCCGACAAACAGGGAUGAGCGGGAGCACUGAGUUUUUAUUUCCUCCUCCCUCCCCUUGCACGCAUGCACACCGUUGCGACUCUAGGUGGGCCUCGGCGCAUCCGCUGGGGUGACAGAGGCGAUCCUGCGCGCCGCCUGCUCUUCCAUGGAUGUGCCCGACACGACCUUUUGCGGACACUCGGCUCGCACGUCUGCCGCACCUCGAGGUCACAUAUAAGAGCUCCUUGUGUAUGAUUGCGCCGCGCGCGUCUAAGUGCAGACUCGUGCCGGCCUUCACAGGGCUAGAAAUCGACGAUGUCUUGCUGAGUUUGGCUUCCCUCUGCCUACUGUACAUGUUUGUGUGCUUAUGUGAAGGGGGUGGAGUCGGAGGUAGGAGGUUGAGUGUUCGAUGUGCAAGAGGUCAGAAAAGGGAAAAUAGAAUAUCGACAGCGCACUGACGCUGAACAAAAGAAGACAAAGACGAUUCACGCAGACGUAUGCGAAGAGUCUCGGUGAGGGGGAGGGAGGGGCAGGGAUCGAGCCGGAGGUGCGGAGAGGAGGAGGAGGAGGAGAGGUGAGACGGGCUGGCCUGCUCAUAACUUUUUGUCGUUGUAGCCCCUUUCGCGUUCUGUGUUCUUCCUGGGUUGCAUCCGCCCUAUGCACGUGCGCGUGGGCGGUUGCCUCGUAUGCUCACGCGAAUGCUCUGAACCUCCGCCUCUUCCCUUUAUUCGGCGCCUCUCCAUCCUCUUGGCGCUCACUUUCACUAUCCACGCCAGUCGUAUGUGUGUGUCUCGGUACCCCCCCUUUGCUGGAGCUCGUUCUACGGCUAGCACUCAUCAUUUCGCGCUUGCCAUCCUCCCGCCUCGUUCAUGCUUGUGCUGCCAUGCGACUGCGCUUUCUUCGGUGUCGCUGGCCGGCACGUUGACAUUAGCUCUACUGCUCUCUCCUUUUUUUUUGUUCGAUCCGUCUGCAUCUGCCUCCGCCCCGUUUCACAAACCACCACGCACGAAAAG